UACGUAGGGGGCAAGCGUUGUCCGGAUUUACUGGGCGUAAAGGGCGCGUAGGCGGCCGCCUAAGUCAGACGUGAAAUCCCUCGGCUCAACCGGGGAACUGCGUCUGAUACUGGGUGGCUUGAAUCCGGGAGAGGGAUGCGGAAUUCCAGGUGUAGCGGUGAAAUGCGUAGAUAUCUGGAGGAACACCGGUGGCGAAGGCGGCAUCCUGGACCGGCAUUGACGCUGAGGAGCGAAAGCUAGGGGAGCAAACGGG
rnacentral:rRNA from 1 species